UACGUAGGGUGCGAGCGUUGUCCGGAAUUAUUGGGCGUAAAGGGCUCGUAGGCGGUUUGGCGCGUCGGGAGUGAAAACAUCCAGCUUAACUGGGUGCUUGCUUUCGAUACGGGCAGACUAGAGGUAUGCAGGGGAGAGCGGAAUUCCUGGUGUAGCGGUGAAAUGCGCAGAUAUCAGGAGGAACACCGGUGGCGAAGGCGGUUCUCUGGGCAUGAUCUGACGCUGAGGAGCGAAAGUGUGGGGAGCGAACAGG
rnacentral:rRNA from 1 species